AGCCCCGAGGUGUUUUACAUAUUGAAUUGCAAAUUCAAAGUAGCAGACUAACCCCCUGCCGGGGCUU